AAUUGCAUCGUAUGUUGAAUGAGGUUUGUAGAAUUAAUUGAAUCUAAUUUUUUUUUCCCAUUUGAUGGAAAUGGAUUUUGCAAACUGAUCUGCACAAAGGUAUUUUCCCAGAGGCAAAUUCUCAGUUUUUAGUAGCAAAUUCAUCAAUGGUUUUGUUUGUGCUUAAAUAUGUUUCUUUAACAAUGGGCAUUUAAUAAUGUUCUAUUUUGUAUGUAGGAUGAGUUGAGAGAUGCUGUGU
rnacentral:misc_RNA from 1 species